GUCCAAACAGACACAAAUUGUGUAUUUUGACCAAUCCUAUGCAGAAUGAGUCUGUAGUCCACAGGAAUAAUUGCUAACAACAGUGAAUUUAUCCAACUUCUUCAUGAACAGCAAUUUUUUUGGGCAAUUGCUUUCAAAUUUGUGACCUGUUUUUUUUUUAUUAACAAAAUGAGGGAUUUUCUUUUUUUUUCUUUUUUCAAAAUGAUGCAAGUUGACUACUACAUGCUUCAAAUCACAGUAUUGUGGGUCUUUAAACCAUAAACUUUGUAUUUGAAUUAGGGUGAAUGGAUAUCACCAUUCACUGCGUUUGUUGUUUUUUCGGCCAAUCAGCUGCAAUCAUGGCUACUUAAUUAUGCAGCUGCUGCCGUGCUCCUCACUGUGACUGCUGCUUCCAGAAGCAUGUGUGUGUGUUUUCACCUUUGAAUGAAGAUGAGGAAAAGAAGAAAAACACACGACAGAAGAACUAAAUUGUGUCUUUUACAGCACAAAUCUUUGGCUGUACUUCUUAAGGAAGACAGAGGCUUCUGGUCAUGCUAACGCUCAUCUCACUUCUGCUCCUGGACUUUAUGCUAACGCAUUAGCAUCCAAGCUAGCUGACUUUCUCCAGAGUUCAUACACAAACGGAGGGAUUAUUUAGAGGCCAAAAGAGAGUGGAGAGUGGCAGGACAUGAGACUAAGUGGACACCUUGAGGUGACGUCAUGACGCCAGCGGUGAAAAGAAAGCACAUCAAAAACCUUCUAUCUUCUUAUGGGCUGCUCAGACCCAUAUGCUACCCUUCCCCUCCCUCUCUGAAGACCCCUGCUGGCCACAGCAGCCUCCUGCUGCUGCGUCGGGCCUCUGGUUACGCGAGGCGGGCAGGUUCUUGUAAACGGCUCGGCUGUAGGGGAUGAAGCACAUGCCGAGCUGGAGGUGUCGGGCCAGGCGGCAGAAGGCGGCGAGUGCCAGGACCAGCAGAGGCGUGAGCAGCAGAAAGCCUACGACCAACAGAGCCACACAGCCGGUAUCAUCCAGCACGUCUGAGCAAAACACUGACGUUCCGUGGGGCUGCACCUGGACAGCAAGACGAGGAGGACAAUUGAUGACUAAUGGCAUGAAUGCCAACAAUUGGACGCACACAUGGAUGGACACAUGCACAGGUGGGACAUGUCCUUUUGCCCUCUGACCAGAAUGAGCAGCUGUGGUCAGUGAUCAGCAGUUAACACCUGGAGGCGGCAAAAAUAAGUGGGCUCGCAGUAAUCCCUUACAUCAACUGUUUUCUUCCAUCCGUUGGCAACAGAGAGUCAGUCUGACAUGGUCAAUGUUGAAUGACACGUGUAACGAUGUAAUGGUAAGUUGUCUGUGUUUACAUAGCACUUGUCUUGAUGGCCACUUAAAGUGCUUCAUCUAUGCACACCCAUGUCACUCACACUCAUACAGGCAAACUACACGUACAGCCACUUUAAUAGGUACAAUUAAAGUGACAAAAGUCACAUCCGAUCCAUCUUUUCCUCUGACCUCUGGCAUCAACAAGGCAUUUUCCCUAAGAGAACUGAAUCUCUAUUCAGAACUAUUUCCUCACUCUUCUGCCAUGUUCAAACUCAGUUAAAUCACCUUUCUUCCUCAGUCUGUUUGAGCUUCAGCAAGAUCGUCUUGCCCAUGUGCACUUUCUCACACAUUUGUCACACCCACUCACAGUGAUGUGUAGAUAUAGGCACGAGGAUCGGACAUCCAGAUCUUCCGGUCGGAAGCCGACCUUCUCUACCACUGACACACAUUCAUAACGGUGGAAAAACACAAUGACUGGAGGCAAAGGAUCACAAUAGUGGGGGAUACGUUGGUGGUGUUUGUCAGCUUCAGGGAAUGUUGUCACUGGGGGAUGUGGCUCCAUCUUGUGGUUCCAUACAGUCUUUACAGUCUUAAUAUGCAAACAUUUUAAUGUCAUUUGAACUCAUAAACGCCUGUA